AAAGAGAGAGAGAGAAGAAGAGCGAGGGAGAGCGAGAGCGAACGAGCGAGCGAGCGAGCACGAGAGAGAGAGAGAGAGACAGCGAGGGGUCACGCCACAGCCCUCCAGUCUCGCACCAGCCUUGAGCCUGGCCACAUGUCCCGGCUCCCGCGCUCGUCCGACGUGCAUACCGGCGCCGCCCUCAGCCUCGUUCCUCGUCAAACCGUAUUUUUUGGGACCAGUUGUUGUAAAAAUAUAUAUUUUUUCGACCCAAAGAUGAGUGUUUUGUCAGCGACCGCUUGAGAGAGAAAGUUUCACCACAAAAAGUGUUUUCCCUCAAAAAUAUAUAUAUGUAAAAAAAAAUAUAUAUAUAUAAAAAUUAUACAAAAAAGGAAAGAAAUAUUUCCCACUAUAUUUUCCGUGAUUGGCAAAAUUUUGAAAUAGAAAAAAGUAGAUAGCAUAUAUGUAAAAAAAA